UGGGCCUGUGGGCUGGAGAGGAAGGAAAGCAGCCUUCUCAGAUGGCGGUCCGUGGACUGGACUGGGCUCUGGGAAGCGAGAAGAACCAAACAGAGAUGCCCAGAGCAGGGGAGGAAGGGAUCCUGUGUUGCUGCUUCCAGAAGAGGGGCACAAGCUGCGGUCUUCAAGACUGGGAGGCGGGUGAGGGCAUCGGGUGCUCCAGCAGAGCCGGCAGUGACUCGGGACAGGAGCUGGCGGGAUAGGAAGUAGUUUGGAGCCCGCGAGCGAAAUCCAAGCCAGGUCAGGGCCCACUGGGCGAGACUCGCUCUGGGCGCCUAGUCCUGGGGGCGGGGGAGGCCCCCAGCGCUCCAGUCGGAGGGCAUAGCAGGAGGCAGUUCUACUUCCCACUGCUCAGGGCUUGGCCUUUCAUAGGAAACGACUUGUUUUCCAAGGGAUUUUUAAAUCCUCCUGGGCUGUGCUAGGGAGCUCCAGCGACAAUGCUUGGAUCUGUCAUCGUAGCCUUCGAUUUUGAGACCCCAGGACGAAUCCUCAGACUUUAGAGGCCGCAAACCCGUCGAGCGCGCGCGCUCCGCGGCGUCUGGGCGUCGGUGAGGGGCUCUCUCAAGGCGAAAGUGCACAAAAGGUAGCGCGAAUCUCUUCUCAGGCGAUCCGAGAUAAGAGGAAAUGAGAGCGAGGUUUUCUGACUUCCAACUCAUUAGGGACCAGGUUCUCUUUCUUCAAGAUCAGGCACAGAGACUGACUGAAUGGCUCCAAUUAUGAGGAUGUGAAAAUCUAAAUCAGAAUUUACCACUUUGUACUUUGCAUUUUCCAAGGUGUUUGGAAGUGCUUGGAUACAUUUACUUGAGAUAAAGAAUAUUUCUCUGAACUGGAGAAAGAAGCCUUUUUGGGGACCACUUGAUAUUUGUUAUCACAUCUGUAGACCCACUGUCUUGUGGAAAUGGGACAAAGUUCUACGAAGUUCUCAAAGAUGAAAUCUCAUAUAAACAGGACACUCAUAAGACCUGGGAACAAUUUUAGGAGUAGAUUACAACCUUCAAACUUCCUAUUGGCAAGGCUAUUCAGAGUGGCCAUCUCAGGGUUCCCAUGAUGUCUUGGGUAAAGAUAUGAUUUGUCCAUACCUCGAGUUGGCCUGCUUACAUCAUGAAGAGCAUAACAAGUGAUGAGUCUCACAAAGUCCUUCAUCAGGCCCCACACUAAUCCUGCCCCAAGUCAGUGAAUGGUGGCUGGCACAGGUUUGAAGAGCUUACAGGAUUUCUUGUGGUUAGUCAGCUUGGAAUUGUGUUUGAAAACUACAGGCCCUAACCACAGCUGUCAGACUUCAGAUACCAUCUGCUACCCAUUUGCCUCCAGCAUCACCAGCUACCAGAGGAUUAAAGUAAAUUUGAGAGAAUUCUAAAUAGUUUUCCUCCACCACCAUAUUAACUUCAUGUUAAUGUGAACCCAUGAUGUUGAAAAGAAUUUUUUUGGGGGGGGAUUAUCUGGGGACUGGGACUACAGUCAUCUCUUACCACUGAGUACCUGAGAAUUAAUUAUCAUCACAUAUCCACCUGCCCAGGAUUUCUCAAGGUUUAAAAUAUAUUUUCUAAAACACAACAAAUACAUUUAGGAAAAGUCCAACCUGGCACACCUUGCACACAAGAUGUUAAUUAUUCAUACUACAUGAUUGAAGAUUUUGGAAUCAGAGAUUCACCUGCAACAUUUGGAAUACCAGUGGAGGUCUACAUCAACACAGAAUUUAUACAGCAGCUGGUGCUAGUCAAAGCUAAUGAUGGAAUUUCAGUUUAAUAAAAAGACCCCCAACUGAGCACACCAUCUUGAAAAAAGUAUACUUAUCAAACAGCUUUCAAUCAGUUCAAGAGAGACACCUUAAUUGGGAAGAGGAAGAAUUGCAGAGCAGUUUGUCAUCGUGCCAAUUCCGGAUCAAUAACUGCAAGUCUGUUCUUUGAUAGACAUAGCUUUUGCUUCAUAUUAGUAACCACAUCUACAUCCUCUCCAUCUGGAUAAGGAGACCUUUGUAUCAUUUGACAAUGUGUAAUGAUAUCCUCUUUUAAUUCACCUCUGUCGCUCCACAAUAAACACGAACAAAAUUUAA